rnacentral:rRNA from 1 species
UCUCAGAUUGAACGCUGGCGGUAUGCUUAACACAUGCAAGUCGAACGGAAACGAUACUAGCUUGCUAGUAGGCGUCGAGUGGCGGACGGGUGAGUAACGCGUAGGAAUCUGCCUGAUAGUGGGGGAUAGCCCGGAGAAAUUCGGAUUAAUACCGCAUAAUCUAUUCGUAGUAAAGUGGGGGACUUUCGAGCCUCACGCUAUCAGAUGAGCCUGCGUAAGAUUAGCUUGUUGGUAGGGUAAAAGCCUACCAAGGCGACGAUCUUUAGCUGGUCUGAGAGGAUGAUCAGCCACAUCGGGACUGAGACACGGCCCGAACUCCUACGGGAGGCAGCAGUGGGGAAUAUUGCACAAUGGGGGCAACCCUGAUCCAGCAAUACCGCGUGUGUGAAGAAAGCCUGAGGGUUGUAAAGCACUUUCAAUUGUGAAGAAAAGUUAACG